GAUGAAGAAGUAGCGAAAUGCGAUAAGUAAUGCGAAUUGCAGAAUUCAGUGAGUCAUCGAAUCUUUGAACGCACAUUGCGCCCUGUGGUAUUCCGCAGGGCAUGCCUGUUCGAGCGUCAUUUCAACCCUCAAGCCUCGCUUGGUGUUGGGCCCUGCCCGCCGCGGCCGGCCCUAAAGAUAGUGGCGGCGCCGCCUGGCCCUCAGCGUAGUACAGCUCUCGCUCCAGGGUCCGGCGGCAGCCUGCCAGAACCCCCCAACUCUGUGGUUGACCUCGGAUCAGGUAGGGAUACCCGCUGAACUUAAGCAUAUCAAUAAGCGGAGGA
rnacentral:misc_RNA from 1 species